UGAUAAUGUGGCCUAAGCAGCCUCUAUUCUCUUUACCUCCUUCCUAAAAGAGGUCCCCUUUUAUCCAGUCCAGGUGACUACUGAUUAGUCUAAGUCCUGGUACCACCCCUUUCUGAUGAUUAAUUUAGUGACCUCGCUUAAGCUCAUCUGCCCAAGUCACGCCCCUGGCAAUUGCUACUGGACCUGCACUGGUCAUGCAGCCUGUGUCAGCCAAUCAGCUGAAGGAAAGAUAAAUUAUCCUCUGUUCAGGAGAAGUGUUCUUCCACUAAACCUGAACCAGGAAGAAUAUGCCAUAACUGUGACAGCAGGCAUCUUAUAACAACUAGAGGGGGCACCAUCCUUGGGAUGAAGUUAAUGCUAUGAAUGAUAACAGGAGAAAAAUACUUAAGUCCUGAAUGAUACUGCUGUUCAGCCUGAGGCGAGAAAACAGGAGCCUCGUUACCUUCUUUGACUAAGCUGUCGGUGAAGAGACUGGUGAGGAUGGUGGCGGGCAGGGUGCCAUUGCCCAGCAGAAUCCCCGACAGCAUCGCCAACUUUGUCUGCUCUGUUUCGGAAAAGGCUUUAAGGAAGAGGAGAAGCUGUGGGUCAAAAAAAAAAAAAAAGAAAAAGAAAAAGAAAAAAAAAGGAACCAUGUC